UAAGGAAUAUUCCACAAUGGGCGCAAGCCUGAUGGAGCGACGCCGCGUGAGCGAAGAAGCCCUUCGGGGUGUAAAGCUCUUUUCAGUGGGAUGACAACGACAGUACCACUGGAAUAAGCCUCGGCUAACUACGUGCCAGCAGCCGCGGUAAUACGUAGGAGGCGAGCGUUGUCCGGAUUUACUGGGCGUAAAGCGCGUGUAGGCGGCUUGGCAAGUCUGCUGUGAAAUCUCCGGGCUUAACCUGGAGAAGUCGGUGGAAACUGCCAGGCUUGAGGACGGUAGAGGGGGGUGGAAUUCCCGGUGUAGUGGUGAAAUGCGUAGAGAUCGGGAGGAACACCAGCGGCGAAGGCGGCCCCCUGGGCCGCUCCUGACGCUGAGACGCGAAGGCCAGGGUAGCGAACGGGAUUAGAUACCCCGGUAGUCCUGGCAGUAAACGAUGAGCACUAGGUGUGGGGGGUAUCGAGCCCCUCCGUGCCGAAGUCAACACAUUAAGUGCUCCGCCUGGGGAGUACGGCCGCAAGGUUAAAACUC
rnacentral:rRNA from 1 species